rnacentral:lncRNA from 1 species
AAACCAAACCACCCAUGCCUAUUCCCUUUUUGUUAUCUUUUCCUUCUAUACUGCUACUUCUUCUUCUUUCCCAUUCUCCCCCUCCCCCAUCAAAAAAGGAAAAAUAAUUUGAUCCCUGGAGUUCCCUUAACUAUCUCUGUUUACCCAUAAUGCCAUGAACAAGUUGAAAAUAUAUUAAAAAGGGCAGCAUGUAUUAAUAUUCCAAAAGGACAACAUGUAUUAAUUUGUGAGCUGGACGAAAAAUGGUCCACCGAACUUUUUCUCCGCCAUCUAAUGCCUUUAGCCAUGAAAAUGGACCACAAAACUUCUUCUCCCACCUUUCGAUCUGGAAAAAAAAUUAAUUUUACCUCGAUUGUUUUUUUUCAUUUUAAUUUUGUUACUAUAAUAUAAAAAGGGAAGAAUUGGAAGAGGAGAGGAGGCAAAACAAGAGAGAAUGAUCUGGCAGGAGGAAGAACACGAGAGGAGAGAGAGAAAUCAAUGUGGGAGGGGGUUAUGGGAUAAUGUUUGAAUUUUAUUUUGAUUUUUUGGUUUUAAUUAUUUUUAAUCUACCCUGUGAUAUGACAUCUACACAUUGUUAUUUUUUGACGUGACAUCUAACGUGGAAGAGA